rnacentral:rRNA from 1 species
UGAGGAAUAUUGGUCAAUGGGCGGGAGCCUGAACCAGCCAAGUCGCGUGAGGGAAGACGGUCCUAUGGAUUGUAAACCUCUUUAGGCGGGGAGCAAUGCCGGGCACGCGUGCCCGGAGGGAGAGUACCCGCAGAAUAAGCAUCGGCUAACUCCGUGCCAGCAGCCGCGGUAAUACGGAGGAUGCGAGCGUUAUCCGGAUUUAUUGGGUUUAAAGGGUGCGUAGGCGGAUUUUUAAGUCAGCGGUAAAAUGUCCGGGCUCAACCCGGGCCGGCCGUUGAAACUGGGGAUCUUGAGUGGGCGAGA